rnacentral:rRNA from 1 species
GAUGAACGCUGGCGGCGUGCCUAAUACAUGCCAGUCGAGCGAACAGACGAGGAGCUUGCUCCUCUGACGUUAGCGGCGGACGGGUGAGUAACACGUGGAUAACCUACCUAUAAGACUGGGAUAACUUCGGGAAACCGGAGCUAAUACCGGAUAAUAUAUUGAACCGCAUGGUUCAAUAGUGAAAGACGGUUUUGCUGUCACUUAUAGAUGGAUACGCGCCGCAUUAGCUAGUUGGUAAGGUAACGGCUUACCAAGGCAACGAGGCGUAGCCGAGCUGAGAGGGUGAUCGGCCACACUGGAACUGAGACACGGUCCAGACUCCUACGGGAGGCAGCAGUAGGGAAUCUUCCGCAAUGGGCGAAAGCCUGACGGAGCAACGGCGCGUGAGUGAUGAAGGUCUUCGGAUCGUAAAACUCUGUUAUUAGGGAAGAACAAAUGUGUAAGUAACUAUGCACGUCUUGACGGUACCUAAUCAGAAAGCCACGGCUAACUACGUG